rnacentral:rRNA from 1 species
AUACGGAGGGUGCAAGCGUUAAUCGGAAUUACUGGGCGUAAAGCGCUCGUAGGCGGCUUGUUAAGUCGGAUGUGAAAGCCCCGGGCUCAACCUGGGAACUGCAUUCGAUACUGGCAGGCUAGAGUAUAGUAGAGGCAAGUGGAAUUCCGGGUGUAGCGGUGAAAUGCGUAGAUCUCCGGAGGAACAUCAGUGGCGAAGGCGACUUUCUGGACCUAUCCUGACGCUGAGGAGCGAAAGCGUGGGGAGCAAAUCGGAUUAGACGCCCGGGUAGUCC